rnacentral:sRNA from 1 species
ACACACGAAGGGAGGUGGUCUGAAGCAUGAGUUGCAGUCGGACACGUGAGGUGACUGCGGGCUAGCACCGCGCACUCGGCGUGCAAAGUGCUCGCCAAUCCCACGCAGUACACCCGACCCGCGGGCUCGUCGGACUUGUCCGGCCGGUGCUCGGAGCCGCAAGGCUCCGGGGAGAGCCCGCGGGUCGUUCGUG